AUCAUGAUUUACAUUUGAGUGAGUGGCGAACUGGUGAGUAACACGUGGGAAACCUGCCCAGAAGCGGGGGAUAACACCUGGAAACAGAUGCUAAUACCGCAUAACAACUUGGACCGCAUGGUCCGAGCUUGAAAGAUGGCUUCGGCUAUCACUUUUGGAUGGUCCCGCGGCGUAUUAGCUAGAUGGUGGGGUAACGGCUCACCAUGGCAAUGAUACGUAGCCGACCUGAGAGGGUAAUCGGCCACAUUGGGACUGAGACACGGCCCAAACUCCUACGGGAGGCAGCAGUAGGGAAUCUUCCACAAUGGACGAAAGUCUGAUGGAGCAACGCCGCGUGAGUGAAGAAGGGUUUCGGCUCGUAAAACUCUGUUGUUAAAGAAGAACAUAUCUGAGAGUAACUGUUCAGGUAUUGACGGUAUUUAACCAGAAAGCCACGGCUAACUACGUGCCAGCAGCCGCGGUAAUACGUAGGUGGCAAGCGUUGUCCGGAUUUAUUGGGCGUAAAGCGAGCGCAGGCGGUUUUUUAAGUCUGAUGUGAAAGCCUUCGGCUCAACCGAAGAAGUGCAUCGGAAACUGGGAAACUUGAGUGCAGAAGAGGACAGUGGAACUCCAUGUGUAGCGGUGAAAUGCGUAGAUAUAUGGAAGAACACCAGUGGCGAAGGCGGCUGUCUGGUCUGUAACUGACGCUGAGGCUCGAAAGUAUGGGUAGCAAACAGGAUUAGAUACCCUGGUAGUCCAUACCGUAAACGAUGAAUGCUAAGUGUUGGAGGGUUUCCGCCCUUCAGUGCUGCAGCUAACGCAUUAAGCAUUCCGCCUGGGGAGUACGGCCGCAAGGCUGAAACUCAAAGGAAUUGACGGGGGCCCGCACAAGCGGUGGAGCAUGUGGUUUAAUUCGAAGCUACGCGAAGAACCUUACCAGGUCUUGACAUACUAUGCAAAUCUAAGAGAUUAGACGUUCCCUUCGGGGACAUGGAUACAGGUGGUGCAUGGUUGUCGUCAGCUCGUGUCGUGAGAUGUUGGGUUAAGUCCCGCAACGAGCGCAACCCUUAUUAUCAGUUGCCAGCAUUAAGUUGGGCACUCUGGUGAGACUGCCGGUGACAAACCGGAGGAAGGUGGGGAUGACGUCAAAUCAUCAUGCCCCUUAUGACCUGGGCUACACACGUGCUACAAUGGAUGGUACAACGAGUUGCGAACUCGCGAGAGUAAGCUAAUCUCUUAAAGCCAUUCUCAGUUCGGAUUGUAGGCUGCAACUCGCCUACAUGAAGUCGGAAUCGCUAGUAAUCGCGGAUCAGCAUGCCGCGGUGAAUACGUUCCCGGGCCUUGUACACACCGCCCGUCACACCAUGAGAGUUUGUAACACCCAAAGUCGGUGGGGUAACCUUUUAG
rnacentral:rRNA from 1 species